AUGACUUGUGGGCUCGGUCUGUCAACCGAUUGGCUGGGUGAGCCUUUUUCGGGUGCCUGGCGGCCUCUCCUGCCGCGCCGCGUGCUUGCAGAGGGGUCGCCCCAUGCGUGUGCCCCCGACUUCUGCAAUAGUCUUUGGUCUUCCGCGAUGAUGGGUGGGUUGACGCUGCUCGUGGUCCCGUCCGUCGGCUGCACUGGAUGCGGAUCCACCGCCUCCCGAGAUCCUUAUCCACCCCAGCUCACGAGGAAGCCGCGGGAGGAGGAGCUCAGUCGGGCAUUAGCCGGCGGGAGGAGGAGAGGCGUGGAUGCUAGCCAGGGAGGUGGAUCGACUCGCCUCUGCUCCGCCGUGAGUGCCGCCGCAGCCUCUGCAGCCACCUUGCUCCGCAUAGCAGCAUGUGUGCGGAAGCGCGGACAGGCGACCACGAGCAGAUCGUGUCGGCGGCAACGGCAACACGCAUGGUGCGCGAAGUCCGGUAAGAUGGGCGCGGCCCGCCCGCAGACAUUUCAGGAUGGCGUGCCCGACAGCUCGGAACGCGCGCGCCCGGCGCACAGGAGGUAUGACUCGGAGCAUGCCGGCGGCAACUUGCACCGCGAGGUCCCGAAGCAGCCCAGCCAGUACAGUGCUCCUCCAUACUGGAUGAACCCUGCGACUCCAUCCUCGCCUCCACUCACAGUGGUGAGGAUCAGUACAGCCACCGGCUUUAUAUUGUGUUUUCUGGUUUGCUCCAGCUUGUUUUUACAUCUAGUCAUAAUUACACCUCUCCACCGACUGCCACCUUUCAUGGAGGAGGGAGAUGGCUUUGCCAGGCCGUCAACACCCAUCGGCAACUUGCGGCAGGCGCCGUCCCGUUCUUCUUCCCCUUACUCCGAUGCCUUCAUGGCCAAAAUCAUUAGCAGCAAGAAGGUUAAGCACCAACUAUGGUUAAAAGCUUUGUCUCUUUUGUUUACUAUCCAUGAUGAUCUGAUUUUGCUGUUUUGA
rnacentral:rRNA from 1 species